UAAUUAUAGAGUUAUGUUAUGGUGUGGAGGUGUAGAGCUCCACACCACUGGUCUGGCAACAUUAGAGCAUUAACAUAAUAAGGGAAGGGCAACUUUAAUGUGGGAAGCAAUCACACCAUUGGUCCUUCCCACAUAUUCUUACAUUAUGAGAGCACCAUGUAAAACAACCAUGGGGAAACAGUAAUGAUUCUACUUCUGUAAUGUAAGAACCAGAUGUAAGAACUAGCCAUCAGGCCCAAUUCAUGAGACAGCAGCUUGAGAGCCGCUUAUCUGAAGCUUCUUCCCACACUAUACAGGGAUCAUAUGGAUAAUAGCACUACUGGAAUGGUGGCAAUUGCAUGGUUGUUCCCCGGCUGAUCAUCCAGCAAGGUGGGAGGAUGACAGUCAGGUGGAAAAGAGACGCGCAAUUGGCCCACCUAGAUGGUGGCUGUACCAACAAGGUCUUGGAGCAGCGUGGGAAGAAGUCAAGGGAAACCUCCAGCCCACACUGCUGAGUUAAUGGGAAUUGACCUUAGAGUGGCUUUGGAUGUUACAAACUUGGGAGAGGGCUGGUAGGAUGCAUGCACAAUUCACGCUUCUGUAUUUCCUAUAAAACAUCCGAAGUGAAACAUGCAUCUCUGAGCUCUAGAGGUGGAGAAAGCUCGUGCAUGUCACUGCAAGGGGAGAUACGUGAGCAGAGAGAAUGAAAGUGCAAGAUGCUGUGCUUCCUCUCCUGCUUCUCCAUAAUAUCUGACGCUGCUUCCAGGAUUAGCCAUCAGUCUUUUAGAUCCUGACUUUCAGGGAGGUCCAGCACUGAAGCAGAUGUCUGAUGGAAUAGAUGGAUCAGGAUCAUGGAUUUCUUUCAAGGUCUUGUUGGAGUCUAUGUAUGCUGCUUACAUCACAGCCCUUCUUGCUUUUUUUGUUCUUUGUUUGGACUUUGUUUGCUCAGGAAUCUAAUCCUGUAUUCUGUGUUUUUCACUGAUACAUGAAGAGUUCCAUAUAGCCAUGCAACAACACAGCCUUUUUUCCAGACACCCCACAUAAUACUGUCAAAUGCUAAAAGGAAAAGGGUUGCAUGGUGAAAGGACGAUAACUUAGACCUCCUACACAGUGAGAAACUACAGUGCACAUGUGUAUAACAGAAAAUUCCAGGAUAUCCAAGACAGAAAAGCCAAAUACUGUACAACUACAUUUUUCUUGAAUUGUAAUUAAGAAGCAGUCUGGGAUCCAAAGGAGUGAGAUUCUUCCAGAGAACCUGCCAUGCUUUCUUUGUUCUUGCCAUAGCAGCUGCCUCUGUUGAAACAGAAACCACAUCCUAUGCACUUACCAGUUUGGACCAGGCCUGAUUUGGUUGUCAUCAGACUAAACUCAUGUACCAGAAUUCCCAAACUCUACAGAAAACACUCUAGCGAAUAACUUUUGCUUUUUGCUGUUAAAGUUGUAUCGCUCUUUAUCAUAUUUAGGAAGAAGAAAAGAGCAUUGCAUUUAAGGGUAGCUUGGUCUGUCUCCUGGAUGAUUGUACUAUAUAUAUAUAUAAAUUAAUGUUACAAAACUUCAGAAAUUUUGUUUCAAGAUGUAGCUAAAACAAAUAUGGCUCCAUCCAAUCCAUUUAACAAGCAGAACUGAGUUUGUUUUUAAAAAUGAAAAGAAAAAGCCCAUAUGGCUAGACAGCUUUUGGAGUUGAAAGAAUAAGGAAGGGAAAACAGUUUACUACAUUAAAUGAUAUUCCUCAAUGUUGGGAAAGGUGUUAAUGAUCUUGAAAGCUGGGGAGUCAUCUUCACCUUCAGUUGUGAUCGUGGCAGGCAGGCCCGGCUCCAGGCAUGCGGGGCCCCUUGGCCAUCAGCUUGCCCUGGCCCCCCGGUGGGUGGUGUGCACGCACGUGUGUAUGCACGGAUCUCCCAUCCCCCCCAUGGCUCCCCUACCUGUCUAGUCUUUACCAUUGCCCUUAAUGAAGAUGGCGGCUGUGGUUUCCCUAAGGGGAAUGAAGCCUCCGCCGCCAUCUUUGUUGAUGGCACACGUGCGUGCUGUGGGCGCACAUCUCUGCCAUCAACUAAGAUGGUGUCAGCGGCUUCCUUACCUUAGGGAAGCUGCGGCCGCCAUCUUCAUUAAGGGCAAUGCUAAAAAGCCAGGUGACAGGUAAGUGGGGGGCGUGGGGGGGCGAGGAUCGCAGAAGGGGAGCAGAGGGCCCCUCAGGGGCUCCUGUAGCUCCGGGGCCCUCAGGACAUUGUCCAACCUGGCCGCCCUUUAGAACUGGCCCUGGUGGCAGGGCAAAGUGGGAGGCUAUGGAAGAGUAAAAUUCACCAGUGUGCAUUCAACUUUUUAAAAAAGUAUUUUAGAUAAGAUAUCUUCCCACUAAAACAGGGGUGGGAUUGUUAUCUCCUCUGCCCCUUGCGUAUCAAGUUUGACAGGUGGGCAGGUUUGCCCACCUGUCAAUCCCCAGAUGUCAUAAUCUGAUAACUUUUAUGCCCCAUGCAUCUUGCAGAGCAUUUUGCAAAGUGCUCUGCAAGGCUCUUUUGAGAAGCCCUUUUCAAAGCCCUCCAAAGAUAGGGCUUUGAAAGGGUCUUCUCAAGACCCAACAACUAGCUGAUCAUCAUAUCCUGCUAAGCAGCUUUCAGAGAACUAUCCUGUGCAGUGCUUUGCAUAGGGGUUUGAAGGCACUGGCGAGCAACUGAUCAACACUGCCUGCAACUUAGUUUUGGCUAAGCUAGGUUUUUACAUGCCCCAUGCCUGUCAUGGCUUGGCUGAAAUGGCUCAUGGGCCAAAUGGGAAGGCCUGGUGGGCCUAAUUAGGCCAAUGGGUUGGAGGUUCCCCACCCCUGCUCUGGGAGGAACUUGGAUGGUUGACUGCCAAGAGGAUUGGUCUAGUGAGGAGUUAAGGCCUCCAGGAGCAGUGGAAUGUUGAGCAUUUGUUGAAAAAGAAAACCAGAGAGGGGGGUAAAUAGGCCUGCUUGAGUCUCUUAUAGCUUAUAAUAUAUUGGAGGAGGGUGUGACUGGCUAGAACAGGAGUGCUUUUUUUAGGAGGGAAGAUUAUGCUGCAACAUUUUGUUGCAGGUCCCAGUUGUAUAUAGACAAGAUGGAAUCCAGACAGAGUGAAGUGGCACUGUGUGAUCCAGGCCUUACGGUGUCAUCAAGGAGCAGCUAGGGUGUCCUUUUAGUUUUUCCUUGUUCCUUCUCCAGAAUAAGCAAAAUAUUGGACCAAAGAUGAAUCAUGUCUCAGCUGGGGCUUGAUGGCUUACUCUUUGAAUCCUCUAAAGAGUCAGUGUCACAUGUUUGGACAAUGACUAUGUCUUUAAAUAUUCUCUGCUCUCCUAUAACAGGAUCUGCAAGGACAAUGUUACAUUUGUCUAGAUGGCAAUAACUUCAGAAUGGUUUUGUGCAGUACUUCUUAGAGGGAAGGCCUAUAGCUCAGUGGGAGAGCAUCUGCUUUGCAUGCAGAAGGUCUUAGAUUCAACCCCCAAAACCUCCAGGUAGGAUGGGGAUAUCUCCUGCCUGAAACCCUAGACAGUGUAGACUGUAGUUGCAAGAGUGUAGAUGCAAGAGUGACACUCUUUCCCUCUUCCUCUUUCAGUUCUAUGGGCUUUUCAAGGGUCAGAUUAUUUCUGCUUGAGCCUUCUUUUACUGAGAUCCCUUGGAAAAGUGAAGCUGGUGCACACACACUUUCUCUUUUUCUAUCUCUUAGGCGAGUGCAGGGCUUAUUUGAAGGAGAGAACUGACCAGAGGGGAUAGCCAGGGCCAGCUCCAGGCAUGUCAGGGCCCUUGGGCAUCAGCUUGCCCUGCCCCCCCAUGCGUGCACAUGCGCACGCAUGCACACAGCCCCCCCACCUACCUGUCUGCUGUCUUUUACCAUUUAUGCCUCCGCUGCCAUAUUUGUUGAUGGCAUGUGUGCAUGCUGCACGCACGCAUCUCUGCCAUCAACUAAGAUGGCGGCAGGGGCUUCAGUACCUUAGGGAAACCACGGCCGCUAUCUUCAUUAAGGGCAAUGGUAAAAGACAGCAGACAGGUAGGUGGGGGGCAUGGGGGGUGUGGAUCAUGGAAGGGGAGCGGAAGGGCAGCUGAGGGGGCCCCUGUAGCUCCAGGGGCCAUCAGGCCAGUGCCCCACCUGGCCGCCCUUUAGAACCGGCCCUGGGGAUAGCACCCAAAUGUUGACAAUGCCUGCUCUACUUGCAAAGAGUUGUUUAUUUAAUGGACCAUUCAUAAUUUGCUCCACCACUGAAGUUUUUCUACCUCAUUCAUGGGCCUUUUCAGUGGUGGUUCCCCAUUUAUAGAAUGCUCUCCCCAGGGAGGCACACCAGGCACCAUCACUGUCUGUUUUUAGGCACCAGUACCUCUGCUCCCUCUCCUUAAGCAUCCUGGGAACUGUAGCCUUCAGAGCCAAGGCCUAUUCUCACAACUUUGGCCCAUAGCAGCCACUUGAAAAGCAGCGUUCCUGUCUGCGGAAAACCAGCCACAUGUGCUUCCACCAAUGCAUGCAGGAUUUGGCUUUUCAGCACAUGCUGAGCAAGAGCUUCGCAAUGCAUACUUGAAAACCAAAUCACACAUGUGUCAGCCAAUGCACUGCAAGAAGCUCUUUGCAGACUAGGAUUACCAAGACCCCAACUCAAAAUAGACACCUAUGCACAGCUAUCACACGCCUGAAUGGUUGUUAUGGGAAUAGGUCCUUAGACUACAAAAAAUCAUGAGAGGUGAAGGAGCAAACGAACAAGUGGUGACAAAGGAACAGCAUAUUGUAUACUUGCCCAUUGGUUUUCAGUCUAUUUUCCUAGGAGCUAUGGGGUUUCUUCCAAGUUUAUCAGAGGUUCCUUGGCAAAGAUGAUCAGUAAUUAUGACAAAUGCCCCCAAAGACAGCUUCUACUCAAAGGCAAGGCCAUCCAUGCAUCAGCUCCCACCAACAGAGAUGUCAUGUUUUUCUUAAAAUAUUCUCGCAUGUGGAGGCAGGAGCUGGAUGCUUUUGAGCAUCUGCAGUUUCUUCCACCACCCCCUGGGCAUGUGCAGAGUAUCAGAUGUAAAUGAAACUCUCCCUUGCCUGUCCAAAGACUGUCUGGGUGUGCUGGGGAAUCUGGUGUCUUGCAUCUUGCUCUGAGUCUGCCUGUAUAUCAAGGGCGUAGGUUCCCGAAAUGCUGCCCUUUUUGAGAAGUCACCCUGGUGGAAGACAGCUGGCAGUAAAGAUGGCUGGUUGGGAGAGUCUCAGAUUCUUCUCUAGGCUACGUCCACACUCUCAGAAGACCAAUGCACACAUAUGUAGUUUUGUCAAAUGCGCCCUGCAAAAUGAUGCCAGCAUACCCCCUCAAUAGUCCACAGACUAAAACCAGCACAUGCUUGCAAUCCCUCGUUUUUAUAACAUGUUAUGUUAUUAAUAUUGAAAUGUUAUGUUAUUAAUUUGAUGUGUUUUAAUUGAUUGAUAGCUUGUUUUCUGAUGUUUUCUGAUGACUAUAAAUUGAUAAU